AGAGCAGUCCAGCUGUUGGGAAAGUGAUUUCCGAUUGGUAUGGAGGGCGUGGGGCUGCCGCUCUCUGAAGGGCACAGCUUUCCGGGGUGCUGUGCAGUCCAUGUCUCCUAUCCAGUAUGGGUUUACACCUGUGGGACAUGGGGAGAGGGACCAGGUUACUUCUCCUAGCUUUGGAAAUUUCUGCACGUUCAUCUGAUCAGAUUGUCUGCCAUUAAUGAGGAGCGUCUGAAUUUUACGAAGCUCUUUUGUUCCUGAAGAGUGCUUCCAGUGAGUAAUAAAUUUGCCCAGGGGCCGAAAUACAUCAUCACCCAAUUUUUUGCAAUGUGGGACUACAUGCUGUGAUCAUUAAUAAGACAUUCAAGGAGUAAGGAGAGAUUCAGAUUUUCAGUGGCACCAUGUCUUUAGAUGUAGGGGUCUGGUUUCAUCAAUUUCUACUGAAGUUCUCAUUUGCUGCCGCCUUGGACUGGGCUGUGCUGGUGAUGACACAUGGAGGAUCAGGUGGGCUGUCUUCUGUCUCUGAUG